GCGGAAACAGUCUCGGGUUUCGCAGAAGGUGUCCAAGCUAGCGCGGAUCCGCCGGCUGCCCGUGGCCAGGCCACGCCGAGGCCGGCAAAGCCCGCGUGGACGCUGCUCGGCAGCUGCUCCGGCCUCUCCGGAAAGCGCCCCACGGAGUCCUGGGCUCUCGUAGGCAGGAACGGUUUGACUCCUCGCCUCUCCCCGGAUUAAAGCAAACAGGAAAACAGAAUGUCCUUUGGUGGAGUCUUAUGACACUCGCUAUGUAUAUGUAAACGGAUAUUCUUUGAUGCCGGCGGCGCGUCCGUCCGCCCUCACAGAGAAAUCUCACAACAGAACGAACGGGAGAGGACAAAGCAAAGCGUGUCAGUCUGGGCCGCGCGUGGAACGAGGGGGAAACGCGAACAGAUUGUCUGGUAACACAAAUCAUCGGCAAGAAUACAAAAAAUCUACAUAGUACAGUAUCUCAAGAAAAAUAACUUCAUUUGAAUACAAAAGGAUAGAUACACUUUCUCCUUCCCCCGGAGGGCCGGCCGGCCGGCUGGGCCUGGGGCAGGG